CACAGAGGGUGCAAGCGUUAAUCGGAAUUACUGGGCGUAAAGCGCGCGUAGGCCGUCGAGUAAGUCGGGUGUGAAAUCCCUGGGCUUAACCUGGGAAUUGCAUUCGAUACUGCUUGACUAGAGUGUGGAAGAGGGAAGCGGAAUUUCCGGUGUAGCGGUGAAAUGCGUAGAUAUCGGAAGGAACACCAGUGGCGAAGGCGGCUUCCUGGUCCAACACUGACGCUGAGGCGCGAAAGCGUGGGGAGCAAACAGG
rnacentral:rRNA from 1 species